CCUCCCCCGGGUCGGCUGAGGGGCUGAAACACAACACGCGAGGGAGCCUCGCGUUCUCGGAUCCCAUGCACAUGCUGUUUCUUGGUAUUAGUGCUGCCUGAGGAGGUGCUUCACCACUGCUUUUCUCUGGACCCCGCCUUCCUGCCAAUGGGAACUGUAUCUCAAGGACCAAUAAGUCACAGUGUGCAGUUUUCACCCUUGGUUUCUACGCACUAGAAGAUGGAAUGUGGAUGGUACCUUUGGUCCAGGCACAGAUCUUCCAGGAGGGCCUGGCAUUCCAAGACGUCCUGGUGCACCAGGCUCCCCCUGCAGUGAAGGUUUGGGUGUCAGGGAGAACAGGGAGAACAGUAGCAAUGCUUGGGGUGAAGUAGAUAGACUGCAGAGAUGAACCAACCUUUUGUCCAGGGGCUCCAUCUUCUCCUGGAAGACCAGGCAGACCUGCCAGUCCUGAAGGCCCUGGAUCACCCUGACAUCAGUAAAAACCCCUGUCACAAAUCCCUAAUAAACAAGAGCAAAACCAGGACAGCCUCGUGCCUUUCCACUGUCACAAAAGUACUUUUUCAUCGAUUCCCCUAUUCUGUGUUAAUCUGGCUGUUAAUGACAUAGGGACUGGUCUUGGGCUCUUGGCUGGGACUAUCUUGGGCACUUCAGCACUAAAAUAAUCUGGUUAUAGCUUCCUCUCCUCUUAGCAACUCAGCUGUUCUUUCUGUCCACCAGCACAGCUUGUUUCUCGUAUGAAGGUGUGAGGAUGUAGCCAUAUUCUGUGUGGAAAGGGAAGGGGCAGCACAAUAACCACUGUUCAGGGCUUUUUUUUCACCUCACUGGCUGCAGCAUAGCUUACAGUUGGGGCUGCAAAUGCUGGCAGCUGUUUAAUAUUCUGGAUGGUUUUCUGCACAGAACUGUGGGUGAGCUGUGUGCAACAAUGACUUGAGCAUGAGCCAGGCAGAUGGAAGUUUCCAGUCACCAUAAGUCUUACUAUUUUUUAUGGAACAGGAGUAUUCAAAAUGCUGCCAUAUCUGGAGGUUACUGGAAGUCUGUGUUAAAAAUUCAAAAGACUAAGAACCUAAAAUUUAUUUCUAAACCUGUGUUUAUGUGGCUUCAGAAAGCAUACUCAGGAAAUAUAAAUUUAUAAUCCAAAUGAAUAAAUAGAUUAAAUAAUUUCUCCAUUAACAAUGUACCUUAGAACCAGGUUCUCCAAUUCCUCUUUCUCCUGGCACUCCAGUCUCUCCUGGCAAGCCUUGUUCACCCUUAAGCAGAUAUUAAUUUUAACAGCAUUAUUAUGAAAAAUAUAAAAGCAUAUGUUUCAUUGCUUAAAUUUUAAGAAAGAUUAGUGUAAUAUUGUCUAUAGUAAGAAGUGUUAAAUCCUUGGUCACAAAGAUUGGGAAUUUGCCACAUGUUUUGAGCUGUUGGUGGAAAUCAUUAAUGCUGUAAAUCUACACUUGUAUGUCCCCGGGAAUCUUUCCUGGCAAAGAGCUGAUAUUUCAGGAGCAUAUAUGACAUUCAAAGACAAUUCUUUUUUUUUUUUUUUACUUUUUAGCAGUGGUAAUCAUAUCCCUGCACAAUCACUUAAAAUGUAAGAGGUGAUACUUGAUUCUGCAAAUGUCUUUACUUGUCACGGACACUUGACCCACUUACACCUCUAGUUUCUUUAUACCAUGCUUUAAUAGCCUUCAGUCAUCCAGAACUUUGUCACAUCUUUCAGGAAACUACUUUAAAUUUCCAUUCCAAACACCUCUAGGGUGAUGUCUUUCAUUAACAGUUCUGUAUUUUGUGAAUCAUUUAAGACUAAAUUAUUCUGACAAUGUUUUUUUGAGAAAAAGUAGUCUUCCUUACACCUUGGACCAUUUUUAACAUCUAGAUAGAUACACAAAUUAAGGUGAGAAAAUAAGUAGCAGAAGUUGCAAGGAAGGCGGGCAAUCUCUAAUGUAUCUAUGUAUGGAUUUUUCUGGAAUGGAAACAGUACAGUGAGAAUAAAAGAUGAUUUGGAAAUUGGGAGAGUCCUCUCUUUUAGUGCAACUAGUUUUUGUAACAGGUUUACUGCACCUCUACGUAAUAUCAAGAAACCACAAGCUCAAGGCAGACAGCCCUCUCAGUGGAAGUGUAUCAGACGAAGUGCAGCUCACUGUCUUGUAUGUGGUACUUGAAAGCUUCUGUGCGAGUCAAGCAAAAACCUAAAUAAAUAGCCAAUAAAUGGCUAUUUUACCAAGG